rnacentral:ncRNA from 2 species
CUGCAGAACCGUGGCGAUUUGUUACCGGAUUGCGGGCCACGUUAAAUAUGCCGCUAAAAGGUCAGGGAUGCAUGACA